AUUGAACGCUGGCGGCAGGCUUAACACAUGCAAGUCGAACGAGUGGCGGACGGGUGAGUAAUGCUUGUGAAUCUGGCUUAUGGAGGGGGAUAACUACGGGAAACUGUAGCUAAUACCGCGUACCAUAGGAUGAGCCCAAGUGGGAUUAGGUAGUUGGUGGGGUAAUGGCUCACCAAGCCGACGAUCCCUAGCUGGUCUGAGAGGAUGACCAGCCACACUGGGACUGAGACACGGUCCAGACUCCUACGGGAGGCAGCAGUGGGGAAUAUUGCGCAAUGGGGGCAACCUGAUGCAGCCAUGCCGCGUGAAUGAAGAAGGCCUUCGGGUUGUAAAGUUCUUUCGGUGGUGAGGCGUUAACUGCAGAAGAAGCACCGGCUAACUCCGUGCCAGCAGCCGCGGUAAUUC
rnacentral:rRNA from 1 species